UGUUUCGGCUAGGGGGCCAUCCCGGCUUACCAACCCGAUGCAAACUGCGAAUACCGGAGAAUGUUAUCACGGGAGACACACGGCGGGUGCUAACGUCCGUCGUGAAGAGGGAAACAACCCAGACCGCCAGCUAAGGUCCCAAAGUCAUGGUUAAGUGGGAAACGAUGUGGGAAGGCCCAGACAGCCAGGAUGUUGGCUUAGAAGCAGCCAUCAUUUAAAGAAAGCGUAAUAGCUCACUGGUCGAGUCGGCCUGCGCGGAAGAUGUAACGGGGCUAAACCAUGCACCGAAGCUGCGGCAGCGAACGUAUCACUUAAAACGAUUCAGAAGCUUACGAUUGACGGAGCGAAGCGACGUCAAAGCGUAUACAAAGUCGAGUCGGUUUAAGGAUACGUUCGUUGGGUA
rnacentral:rRNA from 1 species